rnacentral:rRNA from 1 species
UGGGGAAUAUUGCACAAUGGAGGGAACUCUGAUGCAGCAACGCCGCGUGCGGGAUGACGGCCUUCGGGUUGUAAACCGCUUUCAGCCAUGACGAAGCUUUUGUGACGGUAGUGGUAGAAGAAGCACCGGCUAACUACGUGCCAGCAGCCGCGGUGAUACGUAGGGUGCGAGCGUUGUCCGGAAUUAUUGGGCGUAAAGAGCUUGUAGGCGGUUUGUCGCGUCGAUAGUGUAAACACGCAGCUUAACUGUGUGCCUGCUGUCGAUACGGGCUGACUAGAGGAUGGUAGGGGAGAAUGGAAUUCCCGGUGGAGCGGUGGAAUGCGCAGAUAUCGGGAGGAACACCAGUGGCGAAGGCGGUUCUCUGGACCUUUCCUGACGCUGAGAAGCGAAAGCGUGGGUAGCAAACAGG